rnacentral:rRNA from 1 species
AGGAUCAUUAAUGAAAUGCGAGGCGAGGUUGUAGCUGGUCCCCUCGGGGGCAAACGUGCACGCCUCGUCCCAUGUCUCUUCUCUCUCUCUCACCCCUGUGCACCUCUGCGUUGGGUCCCGUUGGUUCGGGGCCCUGCGUCCUUUAUAUCAACACACACGCGCAUGUACGAGAACGUCACAUCUUUUUUUAUUAUUAUAAUACAACUUUCAACAACGGAUCUCUUGGCUCUCGCAUCGAUGAAGAACGCAGCGAAAUGCGAUAAGUAAUGUGAAUUGCAGAAUUCAGUGAAUCAUCGAAUCUUUGAACGCACCUUGCGCCCCUUGGUAUUCCGAAGGGCACACCUGUUUGAGUAUCGUGAAAUCAUCAACCCUUUCUUUGUAGUGAAGGAAGGGAUUGGACUUUGGAGGUCUUUGCUGGUUCCCCCCUCCCUGGGAUCGGCUCCUCUUGAAUGCAUUUAGUGGAGCUUUGUUCCUGCUGUGUCAGCCUGCCCUUCGGUGUGAUAAUUCAUCCGCAUCGAUAGAGUAUUCGUGAACCAGAGGGACAUUCUCUGCUUCGAACGUGGACUUUUUUUUUAAGACUUUGAUCUCAAAUCAGGUGGGACUACCCGC